ACAUCCGGCGUUCUCKCCGGUGCACUCUGCCAGUCCAGSCCMGCAUCAGUUUGCCCCGGGGGAUAAAGGCGGCGGGAAUGUGGCUCCCUUCSGGGAGUGUUAUAGCCCGUCGUGUAAUSCCCUGGGGCGGACUGAGGAACGCGCUUCGGCACGGAUGCUGGMKUAAUGGUCAUCAAUGACCCGUCUUGAAACACGGACCAAGGAGUCGUCUUCGUAUGCKAGUGUUCGGGUGUCAAACCCCUACGCGUAAUGAAAGUGAACGUAKGUGAGAGCUUCGGCGCAUCACCGACCGAUCCUGAUGUUCUCGGAUGGAUUUGAGUAAGAGCAUACGGGGCCGGACCCGAAAGAAGGUGAACUAUGCCUGUAUAGGGUGAAGCCAGAGGAAACUCUGGUGGAGGCUCGCAGCGGUUCUGACGUGCAAAUCGAUCSUCAAAUAUGGGCAUGGGGGCGAAAGACUAAUCGAACCUUCUAGUAACUGGUUUCCGCCU
rnacentral:rRNA from 1 species